GUUUGUGUGUAUAUAUAUGUGUGUAUCUAUCUAUCUAGACACACACACACACACACACACACACACACACACACACA
rnacentral:miRNA from 10 species